ensembl:miRNA mir20a-2 microRNA mir-20a-2
AAUCCACUCAGGUUUCAGUAGUAUUAAAGUGCUUAUAGUGCAGGUAGUUCUGUGGAUUUCUACUGCAGUGUGAGCACUUGAAGUACUUCUAGCCUUCGUCUU